UUAGGCGACUAAGCGUACACGGUGGAUGCCCUGGCAGUCAGAGGCGAUGAAGGACGUGCUAAUCUGCGAUAAGCGUCGGUAAGGUGAUAUGAACCGUUAUAACCGGCGAUUUCCGAAUGGGGAAACCCAGUGUGAUUCGUCACACUAUCAUUAACUGAAUCCAUAGGUUAAUGAGGCGAACCGGGGGAACUGAAACAUCUAAGUACCCCGAGGAAAAGAAAUCAACCGAGAUUCCCCCAGUAGCGGCGAGCGAACGGGGAGGAGCCCAGAGCCUGAAUCAGUGUGUGUGUUAGUGGAAGCGUCUGGAAAGGCGCGCGAUACAGGGUGACAGCCCCGUACACAAAAAUGCACAUGCUGUGAGCUCGAUGAGUAGGGCGGGACACGUGGUAUCCUGUCUGAAUAUGGGGGGACCAUCCUCCAAGGCUAAAUACUCCUGACUGACCGAUAGUGAACCAGUACCGUGAGGGAAAGGCGAAAAGAACCCCGGCGAGGGGAGUGAAAAAGAACCUGAAACCGUGUACGUACAAGCAGUGGGAGCCUCUUUAUGGGGUGACUGCGUACCUUUUGUAUAAUGGGUCAGCGACUUAUAUUCUGUAGCAAGGUUAACCGAAUAGGGGAGCCGAAGGGAAACCGAGUCUUAACUGGGCGUUAAGUUGCAGGGUAUAGACCCGAAACCCGGUGAUCUAGCCAUGGGCAGGUUGAAGGUUGGGUAACACUAACUGGAGGACCGAACCGACUAAUGUUGAAAAAUUAGCGGAUGACUUGUGGCUGGGGGUGAAAGGCCAAUCAAACUGGGAGAUAGCUGGUUCUCCCCGAAAGCUAUUUAGGUAGCGCCUCGUGAAUUCAUCUCCGGGGGUAGAGCACUGUUUCGGCAAGGGGGUCAUCCCGACUUACCAACCCGAUGCAAACUGCGAAUACCGGAGAAUGUUAUCACGGGAGACACACGGCGGGUGCUAACGUCCGUCGUGAAGAGGGAAACAACCCAGACCGCCAGCUAAGGUCCCAAAGUCAUGGUUAAGUGGGAAACGAUGUGGGAAGGCCCAGACAGCCAGGAUGUUGGCUUAGAAGCAGCCAUCAUUUAAAGAAAGCGUAAUAGCUCACUGGUCGAGUCGGCCUGCGCGGAAGAUGUAACGGGGCUAAACCAUGCACCGAAGCUGCGGCAGCGACACUAUGUGUUGUUGGGUAGGGGAGCGUUCUGUAAGCCUGUGAAGGUGUGCUGUGAGGCAUGCUGGAGGUAUCAGAAGUGCGAAUGCUGACAUAAGUAACGAUAAAGCGGGUGAAAAGCCCGCUCGCCGGAAGACCAAGGGUUCCUGUCCAACGUUAAUCGGGGCAGGGUGAGUCGACCCCUAAGGCGAGGCCGAAAGGCGUAGUCGAUGGGAAACAGGUUAAUAUUCCUGUACUUGGUGUUACUGCGAAGGGGGGACGGAGAAGGCUAUGUUGGCCGGGCGACGGUUGUCCCGGUUUAAGCGUGUAGGCUGGUUUUCCAGGCAAAUCCGGAAAAUCAAGGCUGAGGCGUGAUGACGAGGCACUACGGUGCUGAAGCAACAAAUGCCCUGCUUCCAGGAAAAGCCUCUAAGCAUCAGGUAACAUCAAAUCGUACCCCAAACCGACACAGGUGGUCAGGUAGAGAAUACCAAGGCGCUUGAGAGAACUCGGGUGAAGGAACUAGGCAAAAUGGUGCCGUAACUUCGGGAGAAGGCACGCUGAUAUGUAGGUGAAGUCCCUCGCGGAUGGAGCUGAAAUCAGUCGAAGAUACCAGCUGGCUGCAACUGUUUAUUAAAAACACAGCACUGUGCAAACACGAAAGUGGACGUAUACGGUGUGACGCCUGCCCGGUGCCGGAAGGUUAAUUGAUGGGGUCAGCGCAAGCGAAGCUCUUGAUCGAAGCCCCGGUAAACGGCGGCCGUAACUAUAACGGUCCUAAGGUAGCGAAAUUCCUUGUCGGGUAAGUUCCGACCUGCACGAAUGGCGUAAUGAUGGCCAGGCUGUCUCCACCCGAGACUCAGUGAAAUUGAACUCGCUGUGAAGAUGCAGUGUACCCGCGGCAAGACGGAAAGACCCCGUGAACCUUUACUAUAGCUUGACACUGAACAUUGAGCCUUGAUGUGUAGGAUAGGUGGGAGGCUUUGAAGUGUGGACGCCAGUCUGCAUGGAGCCGACCUUGAAAUACCACCCUUUAAUGUUUGAUGUUCUAACGUUGACCCGUAAUCCGGGUUGCGGACAGUGUCUGGUGGGUAGUUUGACUGGGGCGGUCUCCUCCUAAAGAGUAACGGAGGAGCACGAAGGUUGGCUAAUCCUGGUCGGACAUCAGGAGGUUAGUGCAAUGGCAUAAGCCAGCUUGACUGCGAGCGUGACGGCGCGAGCAGGUGCGAAAGCAGGUCAUAGUGAUCCGGUGGUUCUGAAUGGAAGGGCCAUCGCUCAACGGAUAAAAGGUACUCCGGGGAUAACAGGCUGAUACCGCCCAAGAGUUCAUAUCGACGGCGGUGUUUGGCACCUCGAUGUCGGCUCAUCACAUCCUGGGGCUGAAGUAGGUCCCAAGGGUAUGGCUGUUCGCCAUUUAAAGUGGUACGCGAGCUGGGUUUAGAACGUCGUGAGACAGUUCGGUCCCUAUCUGCCGUGGGCGCUGGAGAACUGAGGGGGGCUGCUCCUAGUACGAGAGGACCGGAGUGGACGCAUCACUGGUGUUCGGGUUGUCAUGCCAAUGGCACUGCCCGGUAGCUAAAUGCGGAAGAGAUAAGUGCUGAAAGCAUCUAAGCACGAAACUUGCCCCGAGAUGAGUUCUCCCUGACUCCUUGAGAGUCCUGAAGGAACGUUGAAGACGACGACGUUGAUAGGCCGGGUGUGUAAGCGCAGCGAUGCGUUGAGCUAACCGGUACUAAUGAACCGUGAGGCUUAACCUU
rnacentral:rRNA from 1 species